UCAGGAUUUGGGGAAUGCAGGCACAAAUGUGUCUGGUGUGUUUUUGAGGAUGCUGAGACUGGAACUUGCACCUCUGCUGGCCAUGUGGGAUCUGGCUUCCUUAACCACGAGCUUCCAGAUAAGAGCUUUCAUCUGCUACAAAAAAUCUCUGUCAACAGAAUCCACUUGAUCAAAGCGUUUUUGUCAGUUAUUAAAAGAAGGAAAUCCACAAAUGUGUCUAUGAGAAGUUUCUUCCAAUUGCUGUGAAAGUAUACAGCUCCCUCAAACAGAUUAGCUUGGCAUCUGCACCACACUGGGAUUGAGGAAACGAAAACAUAACUAGAAAAUUAUUUGACUGGGGCAAUGGAAUCUGUGUGUGUUUUGGGGCUAUGUCACUUUGUAUGUCACUUUGUAGAAAACUGAAACUAAAG